rnacentral:rRNA from 1 species
GUGGCGAAUAUUGGGCAAUGGGCGAAAGCCUGACCCAGCAACGCCGCGUGAAGGAAGAAGGUCUUCGGAUCGUAAACUUCUAUCCUUGGUGAAGAUAAUGACGGUAGCCGAGAAGGAAGCCCCGGCUAACUACGUGCCAGCAGCCGCGGUAAUACGUAGGGGGCAAGCGUUGUCCGGAAUGAUUGGGCGUAAAGGGCGCGUAGGCGGCCUGGUAAGUCUGGAGUGAAAGUCCUGCUUUUAAGGUGGGAAUUGCUUUGGAUACUGUCGGGCUUGAGUGCAGGAGAGGUAAGUGGAAUUCCCGGUGUAGCGGUGAAAUGCGUAGAGAUCGGGAGGAACACCAGUGGCGAAGGCGACUUACUGGACUGUAACUGACGCUGAGGCGCGAAAGUGUGGGGAGCAAACAGGAUUAGAUACCCCGGUAGUCC